rnacentral:rRNA from 1 species
GAGACAGCAGCAGCCGCGGUAAUACAGAGGGUGCGAGCGUUAAUCGGAUUUACUGGGCGUAAAGCGUGCGUAGGCGGCUAAUUGAGUCGGAUGUGAAAUCCCCGAGCUUAACUUGGGAAUUGCAUUCGAUACUGGUUAGCUAGAGUGUGGGAGAGGAUGGUAGAAUUCCAGGUGUAGCGGUGAAAUGCGUAGAGAUCUGGAGGAAUACCGAUGGCGAAGGCAGCCAUCUGGCCUAACACUGACGCUGAGGUACGAAAGCAUGGGGAGCAAACAGGAUUAGAUACCCUGUAGUCCCUGUCUCUUAUACU